rnacentral:rRNA from 1 species
GAACGCUGGCGGCGUGGAUUAGGCAUGCAAGUCGAACGGUAUGGACCUUCGGGGUUCAGAGAGUGGCGAACUGGUGAGUAACACGUAGGUUAUCUACCCUCAAGACGGGGACAACCCAGGGAAACUUGGGCUAAUACCGGAUGUGAGCAACUUUUAGUUGUUUGAAAGGUGGCGUAAGCUGUCGCUUGGGGAUGAGCCUGCGUCCUAUUAGUUAGUUGGUGAGGUAACGGCUCACCUAGGCAAUGAUAGGUAGGCGGCCUUAACGGGUGGUCGCCCACACUGGGAUUGAGAUACGGCCCAGACUCCUACGGGAGGCAGCAGUCGAGAAUAGUCUACAAUGGUCGGAAGACUGAUAGUGCGACGCCGCGUGAACGAUGAAUCCCUUCGGGGUGUAAAGUUCUUUUAUAUGUGAGCAGUGCUUCUUAUAUUAACAGUAUGGGGAGAGAGAUAUUAGCAUAUGAAUAAGCAACGGCUAACUCCGUG